AUUGAACGCUGGCGGCAUGCCUUACACAUGCAAGUCGAACGGCAGCACGGGAGCAAUCCUGGUGGCGAGUGGCGAACGGGUGAGUAAAGUAUCGGAACGUGCCCAGUCGUGGGGGAUAACGUAGCGAAAGUUACGCUAAUACCGCAUACGAGCUAUGGAUGAAAGCGGGGGAUCGCACGACCUCGCGCGAUUGGAGCGGACGAUAUCAGAUUAGGUAGUUGGUGGGGUAAAGGCUCACCAAGCCGACGAUCUGUAGCUGGUCUGAGAGGACGACCAGCCACACUGGGACUGAGACACGGCCCAGACUCCUACGGGAGGCAGCAGUGGGGAAUUUUGGACAACGGGCGAAAGCCUGAUCCAGCCAUGCCGCGUGCAGGAUGAAGGCCUUCGGGUUGUAAACUGCUUUUGUACGGAACGAAAAGGUUUGGCCUAAUAAGCUGAGCUCAUGACGGUACCGUAAGAAUAAGCACCGGCUAACUACGUGCCAGCCGCCGCAGUAA
rnacentral:rRNA from 1 species